rnacentral:lncRNA from 1 species
GUUUAUUGAGUUGUGUAGUCCAGCCAAAAUCAGUUUGUAUAAUUUAUUAUAAUUUUCCAUAUCUUAGUAGCACAAGGUUUUGGCACAUGAAAGUACAUUGUAUCCAUCAUUUCCAUAGCAUUCCCCAUUCGCAACAGCACCAUAUGGAACGGUUGCAAUGACUUUUUUCAAAGUUGUAACCACGCCAUUCACAGCUAAGCUUGCACAUAGCAACAUUGUUGGGCGUUUAUAUCUGGCAUGCUCGGAAAGGAGUACACGAAGUCCACAAUCCAGUUGUACCUACAAACAACAAGGUAUAUAUAGCAUCCCCGUUCAUAUUAGCAUAUGUAGUAUAAGUUGCAUGAGUUUAGAUUAUAUGAAUAUCCAAGGUACAUCAUACAUAAUUGGACUAUUGUAAACAUAAACAAAGAGUGUACCUUUGUUUAUCGUAGUUGCUUGACAUGACCAUAAAGUGCUAGACAUCAUCAGAAGAACUACGAAACAUAUAGCCUAUGUGUUGUUCUUGAUAGGUGCCAUGAGGAGUGGUUUCUUAUUCCUUUUUCCUCCUAUACCUGUAUUCUUUAUGGGCGAUAUCUCUCAACCUAUAUUUCUUAUUGUGUUAUUUAUUAGAGGCAUAAAUCUCGAAGGACCCAUUCUUGCUCUUAUAUUAUUUCUCACAUUUAUGUUUUGAUCAUCAUGUGUUUAUAUAUAGUCACUUGAUGUCCGCAAGGUCACUAUAGCAUUUAGAUAUGAUAUACCAAAAUAUAUCUUGUGGAGAACAUGUUACUAAAUGCAACCUAGAUUUUGAUAUUUGAAAUUAAUCACUACUCUGAAAUACCAUACAUAUAGCACAUUAAGUUGUGCCCCCGCAAAAAAAGCAUAUUAAAUAUGUAUCUUCAGUAGUAGUUGUUCUAUCAUGUAGCAUAGUAGACCCAUGUAAGAAAAACAUAUCGGAUAAUAAUCACAACAUUAUUUCUUUAGGAUUCCACAACAUUAAACCAUUAUAUUAUGUCUUUAGCACUCAAUGUAACAAGCAGAAAAGGCCACCCGAAAUAGUUAGAAAUAAGCCUGUAGAUAACCUCUACUACCGGGUUUUGCAUGCACGCAGUUUGCAAAAGGGACACGAAAGAAAGUUGCCCCCUUUUUCUUUGAGCAAAAAAAACCCUUGUCUUGUGGGCAGAGAUAGGCCCAGAUACACAAGGCCGCAACACGGGGCUUGAUUAUAUUUACGACAGAUAUGUUCACUAGCCCACCAACUUGCCUUUCCUUCGCUUCGAGGUUUUCUUAGUGGAAUUCCCUAUUUGCCGCUCAUUACGUCGAACUGUCGAUGCAAAGCACAGAGCUGGGGAUUGAAGCGCUCACGUGGGCCGGCCCGUUAAUCAAUUGGGUCACUUUCUGGUUUUGGGUACCUUCUAGAGUUUCCUAGCCGAGUUUUUCUGGUUUUGGGAAACUUCUAGAAGGUUCCUUGAACCGUAUUUCUUUUUGUCGAUAUUUCUGUUUCUUUUUUUUUCUUUUUUAUUUCUUUUCAUUUCCUUUUCUAUUUCUUUUUUUUCAUUUCCUUUAUAUUUCAAGUCCAUUUUUUAAAAACAAAUCAGGUUUCAAAUUUUGUUCAGAAACUGAAAAAAAAUACGUACUUUUACAGUAUUUUCAAUUUUGUAAAAAAUUUCGUGCUUUCAAAAAUUGUUCAUAAAUUCAAAUAAUGUUCGCAUUUUCAAAAAAUUGUACGGGCAUUUCAAAAAGUGUUCCCAUUUUCCAUAAAUUGUUCAGAAUAUUUUUUUUAUUUUUUGUAACUUUUCAAAUAAUGACUGGGAUUUAAAAAAUGGUUAUGUUUUAAAAAAUUGUUCUUGUUUCCAAAUUUUGCUGACAUAUUCAAAAAUGUUCAUGUUCCAAAUUUGAUUGGAAUUUUUAAAAUUGUUCUCUGUUUCUAACUUUGGUCUAAAAAUGUUCUUGUUUCCAUUUCUGUUUCUUUCUUUGUUUCUUUUUUAAUUUUUAUGUUUUUUUCGAAAAAAUUUCAUUUUUCAAAAAUUGUUCGUAACCUUUAAAAAGUUGUUCCCACUUUUAAAAAACGUUCAUUUUUUUUAAAAUGUUCGUGUUUUCCAAAUUUGUUCAUAAAUUCAAAAAAUGUUCGCAUUUUAAACAAAAUGUUUUGGGAUUUAAAAAUGUUACCUUUUAAAAAAAGGUUUGUCUUUGCAAAUGGCAACCCCUCGCAAUGAAUGUUCGCCAGCUAUUGCAGUCUAAAAGAUGAUGUGUCCAGAUCUGUAGUCUGAAGAGGUGUGAGCGUUUUGUAAAAUAUUGACAAUUUUAAAAACUGUACACGAUUUUGUUUACAAGAUUUUCACAAAUUUGAUGUAUUUUAGUUUUAUUUGAAAUAAACAAAUAUUUUCCUUUUAGGGGAAAGUGGAAACCUGUAAAAGCAUAUAAAAUCACUAGAAACACAUAGCGUCAUUUAGGAGCUCCCUUUGCUGAUCUGUUGCAAUAUAGAUCUUGAGUCAUCUUAUAACUCACUCACUGCAAUGUUAUUGAUGGCAAAACGCACAUGGAAAAAGGAUUUCCUUCUUGAGCCACGUGGCUCAGAUCGCUCCCAAUUUUCUUUCUCUUUUUUUAUCCAGAUUUCCGUCAGUUUAAACCAAAAAAUAGCUCUCUUGCUUAUGUAGUUAAAUUUAAAAAAUAUCAAACAGUGAUAUAAAAGUACAUGAUUUUACAUGAAUAAUUAAACUGUUUGUGAAUUUUCAAAAAUGAUCUUGAAUUAACAAAAUGUUCAUAGGUGUAAACAGAUGUUCUUCUUUUAUGAAAAUGCUGAGGAAUUUAUAAAAUUGUGGAAUUUAUAAAAAUACGAAAUUCAAUAAUGUUCUAUAAUCUUCAAAACAUGUUGGUGUUUUUAAAAAACACGUAUUUCAAAAAUAAUUGUAGUUUGAAAAGGAUUAUGUAUUUCAUAAUAUAUUCUUGAAUUUCAAAAUUGUACAUAAUUUUAAUAAAUGUUCAUGAAGUUGAAAUUCAUAAAUAAAAAUAAAAGGUAUAGAGAAAAAUCAGAUGGAAAUCCUAGAAAACCACAAGAACAUGGGGCGUGAUGUGCACUCUACCUAUGCAUUAAUCGAACACUUUUUUGCAAUGAGCGACAACUACAUUUUACAAUGGCUUGCUACACGCAUGAGCUGUUGCUCCCAUGUCCUACUAGAUCGGGAUCGCGCCUUGACGCGAGGGUGCCGGUCCCAAUGUUUUGCCGAAGCACUAUUUUAGUAUAAACCCAGGUAUAGUAUUUGCACUUAUAUAGAAUAAUAAAGCAAAUUUAGAUAGAAGUAAAACAAAAUGAAUCUCAAUACCGACAUGAGAUUAUAAGGCAGGAUCAAACUAAGUGUGUUCAUAAGACCAUAAAAGAUGGCCACUCAACAUAAAAUUCGAUACCAAAAGCGAGAAUACAUAAAAGGUAAUAAGAACAACAAGAUAAUAAAGGAGAGCCAAUUGUGGAGCCAUAACCACUAAGCAUACGGGAGGAGCUCCAUUGUGUUAGCCACCUCAGUCUUGCGAUGCUUGGCAUCCUGUAGCCACCUCUUUCUUCAGAUUUUGGAGCCUCUUAGAAUAUAUAAAUGGUAUAGGUGCCCUGUCAAGGAAAAAAAAUAGAUAAAUACAGAUUGUGUGUCUUAUUUUUAUUGUGGUGUCAAUCGAGGAAAAAGGAUGAUGCACGACUACAGAACACCAAACUACAAUCCGAUGAUCAACCAACUAUACAAAUCAUAGAGGGAUCUCCUGGGCACUAAGCCCUUAUAAAAGGGUUUCAAGGUAUCCACUUUAUCACCAGCCUACAAAUAAAAUAUAUAAGGUGGGGGCAAGGGAAGGACUAAAAUAAAAAGAAGUACUCGCUUGGUAAUGCAUACUGGAAAGACAUGUUGCUGGUAAGGAUCUCCUCUACUCAGGAAAAAUAAAAAGAUAGGAGGCGCGUGGUGCCUGCCUCAACAUAUUGUCCAUGUGCUUAAACAAAGCAUUUAGUGUUGUCAAAUGGGAAUUAGAACGAUUGCUUGGGAUGAAUCAGCCCUUGCCAAAUGGAAACUAAAAUAAUUGUGCAGGAUAGAUCAACCCAAUACAGUAAGUUUAGAUCAAUAGCAAUACAGAAGGGUGAGACAGCCUGUUAUACCAAAAGCAAGGCAAGCCAGAAGUUCAUGACAAAGGGGAGACAUAUAUUUGGUGGCAAAAGUAAGCCAAAAUGAUGGGUUCUUGUUAAGUAGAUAAAAUAGUUGGGUUAUUAGAUAGCGAAAGCAAGCCAGAGUAGCGAAUAAGAUUCCUAUAUAGUUUUAACAAUCCUAUGUAGUUCUGCUAUAAUUAAAGAACCAAUGAUGCAUCAAUAUAACUAAUAUACAGUAGUUAACAUGAAGAAUGCCGAGCAGUGCCCUUUUACAAAAGGAGAGGACAAUCAGAUGUUCGCAUAACACAUCACAGCAGCUAGUGGUAUGACACAUCAUUUGGAAGUUAUUGGGGCCAAAGCCAACCAUAUAGCUAAGAGAAAAAGCGCCUGCACAUGAAGCAUUGUCACUAACCCUGAAUGAAGGGUUCUACUUUCAAGUGUUUGUGAAGAACAUGGUGUAUAAGUCACAGCCCAGGAUCACCGCGACACUUUAAUCUCAACAUCAAUACACUUCCAAUACCACUAAGGGAAAAUAGAGUUAAAAUUCAUGUGAGAACAAAAUAGAAACAACUGUGGUCAAAAUGCAUAAUCCUUGCUCAAAUCAAAUUGAUAAUCACCAGAUGGUAUAUAUUUUGGCUCCCUCCUAGAUCAAAUUAAUUUACACUUAUGGAGGAUUGUUAUUAACAAAGUAACCGACAAAGAAGUGAUCGCCAGUUGCACUGUCUACUUAUGUCUUUAUGAAUGCAAAUGCAAGUGGAAGCUACCGAGGUUCGGUAAAUAGGGAUUGACCAGUAGCUUUUUUCCGAACUGGAAGGAACAAAGUCUCACUUCUACCCAAACCGAGUGGAGAGCACAUCCUAUCAUUCUUUUGAUCUCUAGAUUUCAUCCAAUUGAGAUUUUCAUUCCGUCAUUUCAAGGAAAUGGUGUACACCAAUUUAAGAAGUUUAGGAGUAUGUCAUAAAAGAAGUUUCAGGUGUGCAUAUCGUUACAAGCUUGAAAUACUGACAUAAAAGCUUGAAAUAUGAGAUUGUGCAUGUAGAAAUAAAUAAGAAAUUAUAUGUCAAACAAAUUUAUGUUUUCUGCCAUUCCAGAAAUUCUAAUUUCUUAAUGAGCCGACUUGCAUACGUCUCUCUCCGAAGGAAAGACCAUUUCUAAUUACAGAAAAGGGAUAUGUACAAUGGUAGACAUAUGUGUUGGUCGAUAAUACCUCAAAUGGCGCACCACUAAGAUUUUCCAUUACCAGCUUCUUAUGGAUCAGUGAUACAGAGCUCUCUGCUUGUGCCUGAAUUGGCAGCUUCCUCUAGACCAGCAAUAAAAUUAAUAGAUUAAGAGAGUACCUCAGCAAACUCAAGAUUAAUUUAUACUCCAUAAACUAAUAUAAGUUCAGGGAGGUAGUACCUAAACAGAUCCAUAAAAUCUUUUAUUCUUUCCAGAAAAUGUAGAAUUAUCCAACAUGUAAGGGGUGAACCACCAUCACGACACCAGCAUCUAGAAUAAGUUGAUUUGCAGAAGCAUUGCCACUAAGAAUAAUGCAUAACAAUGAUUUUUUCCCUACAUAUAAGGGGAGGCCUCAAACUUAAUCCUUUACUUCCAUAGCACAUCAUACAAUGUCCCCUUAAAAGAGUUCUUCGAAAUAGCAUGCAAGCUCCAUAUCGAAUGGGGAGCAACGGAGGAGGCCACCCGCGACCAUGGCGUCCGACCAAGGCAUCGUUGUUCCGUCCAGCUCGGCCAUGUGCGGGGCGUGACAUCAUUGUGUAGGUACCGGUGGUCGUCCUCAUCCAUGGAGGAUUCCUGCUGCUCUGAUUCAAAGAAACAAGUAAGGGGAUCAAUCAAUCCAUGGAGAGAAGGAAGACAAGGAGACACGCACGUACACGUACUGCUGCUAGUAUAUAAAGAAAUCAACCAAGCCGUAUGUGUGUGUGCUUGAGUACGUGUGUGGUUGGGCUCCUGGAGUACACGAGCUAGUGUUCUAAUUAAACUGAAAUAGAGCAUGCCAUAGGAGAGCAACCUAGAGCACAGAGCAUGCCACAAGAAAGCAACCUAGAGCAGAGCAACUAUAACUUGGAAAAAUCUCACAACCGAGAGAGAGGGAUGGACCUAGUUUGUCAAUCUACCAUGCAUCGUUACUCUAUAAUUUAUAGAGCUGGCAGCCUAACAUGCUACUGCCAUCAGCGGUAACCAAUGAAAUUAGAAAAGCACCGAAACUACUAAUUCUAACCAAAGAAGUUUGAGGAACAUAUUUCUCUUUGUUUUACAAUCUGAAAACGGCUAUUCUGGAGUGUGCAGUGGUCACUCAAAAUAAAGAAUACAUAUACCUGACCUGCGAAAAACAACUGGCACAACGCAAUGGUCCUUAAUCGGUUAUCCAUAAUAUAGACAAACAAAUAUGAAUCAGGAACCAAGCAGUUUAAUUGGUUGCAAAUUAAAGGACCCUUAGAAUCCGCUUUUAGAUGGCAAACAAUAAACUAUGGCAAUAAAAAAUCAGUAGCCAAAACCCAUAGGACGGAUAAUAGCAUCAGUCAUUCCUUCAACCAAAGCAUCAUAUAUCAUCGAUCUACAUUAUAAGGAGAACUAUGUAUGAGAAUGUGAACCAGAGUUAUACCCCUUGCAUCAUGUAAUUCUUUGGAGUUAGACUCUUUCAAAAUAUUAUCACACAGGGUGCCCAAAAAUAUAUAUUACCACAAUACAUCUAUUCAUCCAUUAAUAAUGAAAAUACUAAUACAUAACUUCCACCUAGAGUAGCAUGGAAUUGCACAAAUAAUACAUAGCAAGAGAUUCAUUAUUUCAAUGCAUGAUAAGUUACGAAAUAGAUCAUCUAAACAAACAAAAUAAUGUUUGUUUGUGCCACUUAUUAUUACUGUUAUCGUGGUACCCACAAUAAGGUGGAAAUGUUAGCUUAUUCAAGGGGGGCCUACAAACUUCGAUCCCAUGAUGGCUAAAAUGGUUUUGGAUCAAUGAAGCUUACAACUGGUAAAUCAGGUUAGCUAGUAAGUAUGGCAAACGAAAAUCAAAGUAGAAUGAUCCCAAAAUGUCUUUUGUUACACUAUUACAAAGCAAGUUAACCGAUCUUAGAUCUUGUGACCAUGAAUCCAAACCUCUACUGAUUACUCUUAAAUUCAUAUCAAAGUGAAGAGAGCUAAUUAUUAAGUGUGGCGCAUUCAGAGAAUUGAUGUGGCUAUUCAUAAAAUCAAAAUUAAGAUCCAUUCUCUCUAGAAGUAACUAAAAUGAAAGAGGAACAGAGAAUAAUAUCUUGUGCCAGAUUGGGAUUAAUGCACUGAUGAGAGACUCGAACAAUGAAACACAUGCAAAAAUGUUCUCUUGAUGCCCAUUUACUCCUAGGAGUACUACUGAACCUAACUGAAUUUAGGAGUAUUUACAAAACCUAGUAGUACUACUGAACCUAAUCGAACCCAAGUGCAUGUGUGGUGUACUAAAUGUAGGAGCUGCGUGUUUGUACUCCAUGGAUGCAAAUCAAAGGAGUUGGAGCCGUGUGUUUGUACUCCAUAGACGUAUUAUGAACUUUGUAGUCCAUGGGAAAUGAACAUAGCUGCAAAUUAAGAAAAACAAAGCAGUCGAGGAGAGAACGAGCUCACCUAUGAGGUUGCAGCCGAGGCAGUAGCACAGCUCGUCGCUGCAACUGAGCUCGACACGCUACCUCCAUGUGUCCGGCCUUUUCCGCGAGUUACCCCAUGCGUCCAGCCUCCUCCGAGCACUGUCUCCUCACAAACAAGUAGGGGUAGAAAAAACAUGAAUUGUAACUUAUCAACCGAGCGGCAGCAACAAUCAGCGACAGAUCACCGAUCAACAACAGGACACUAACCGAAAAACGCAGCCAAUAGCAAAAUCAGGAGCAGGAUAAAACUAAUAAUAUAAUGAAAAGAAUGCCCACAAGAGAAGCAUGCACAAUCCUAUGAAAUCAGAAUCAAUUAGUUCACCUACUGACACCCAUCUACCAGGAUCAAACAAGGCGUCCAGGAUCAAACAAACAAAGCAAGGAAAGAUACAGCCCCUUCCUUGCAAUCUAGCUAGACUGCUAAUGUAACAACAAAGUUUCUAGAAGAAUCUAACAGCAAUCAUAUAUAAAAAAGCGCAAGUAAAUAUGGUCAUGCAUAUUUUGAAGCCACCAAAGCUAUCCUUAUGUCGAAAAUUGAAAUAAACGAUGGUACAAAGAGGAGAAAUAAUGAAAAUAACAUGAAGGAGUUAGAACCCAGAAAUCAUAUGUAACUAAACUAUGAGAAACCAUGGAUAUUACCUCAAGAAUCUAUAUAGACCUAAGCUUCUCUUUAACAGGCAGAAAACCAAGCAAUGAAACAGAUAGCCUAGCUAAAUCCAAGGAUCUACUUGACGGCAAGGCACCAACAAAACAAGAAAGCCCCCCAAAAGUCCUCCUCUGGAACCUAGCUACCUAAGAAUCUACUGCACAAGAAGAAACCCAAGGCAUUUUUGCUAGCCAGUCCUAACCUAGCCAGUCCUACAAAAUGGUACAUGAACAUAAGAGGGGAAGGAGCUCAACCAGCAGGAGCAUGACCAGUGCGGCCACACGCGGCAGAGGUGAAGCAUAGAUCGCUCGGAAUCGCGUGUGUAAGGAAGAACCCAACAACACGGCACAUGCGAGUAGCACCAGCAAACAAAUCAGUAGGUUACUUCUAGGACAUAGCACCUCGAUCACUCUUUACAUGAACAAUCCAGCAUUAUCUCCUAAAAAACUAUCAACAAAAAUCUUGUAGCAUUAUUAUUUGUAGCAUGUAAGAACAAAUAGCUGCAAAUGGUAACUUGCGAAAAAAUAGAAGUAGUAGUGUCACAACAAAUUAAAACAAGCCAUUCAACCAUUGCGGGGAGCGGGUCAAAGUGCGACUUACUCUUAUAACCAGAUUAAAUCAAGGACCAACAACAAUAUAGAUACAACAAAGUGCGACUGUACGUAUUCUACAAAACACACCACUGCACCAUGUAGAUACAACACAUAUCAAUUAGAAGGGGCAACUUGUGCCCUGUUUAUGAGAGAAAGAAAUCAAAUAAUAUUUGUAACAGUAGAUUGAGAUAUGAUGAGAAUACCUAAUCAGUAAAGCAUCACUACCCAACCAUAAGCAUAAAGGAAGUAAUAUGAGCUGAAAUCUCUGAUGGCAUAAAAAAAUUAGAGCAUGUCUGACAUAUCACUUUGAAGUUACAAAUGGUAAAUAAACUACAACCAAGAAACAUAACAUUAAGUAGCUAGAGAGUAUACACUACUUUCUAAUAGGAAAGAAUGUAAUUUAAUCGGUAAGGUACUGUCACUGUCUCCAACAUGAAAAAACGAAGAAACCUUUUGUAAUCAGUAUCUACCAUGCUCAUGUUUCUUCUGUAUUCAGUACAGUAGCUGCAACCAUGCGCAUAUCACCGAGCAGAAAAAAGAGAGAAGGUUACGGCUUACUUAACAUUUGCCAAUUGAUGCUGCCUGCACCCAUACUUUAUGAAUCUGCUGCUUCUAAUUCUGUUACAACCUGCCACUCCUCAUUAUAUGUUGCCCCAUCAUUUUCCUGCAACGCAUCUAUAUAACAAAAAGCACCACAUCAAGUGAGGUACGAAAAUAGCAGAUAGCAAAGCAACAUGAGAAUAGUAGUCAAGUAUAUUGGCAUACCUUUAAUUCUCAAAUAGUUGAUUGGUUCAUGACGAUGGUUCGAGGAGAAAGCUGCAAUUGAAAAAAUAAAGAUAUUCUUACAAAGAAGGCCCAAAGGUUUAAGCAGGAUAUGGUAAUAAAUAUACAUAAUAUGUAAACUUCAAAACUAUUGCAGAGAGAUAAAUGCGGUUUUGGAAGAAACAUGUUCCUAGAUAGGCAGAGUCUAAUUGUAGUAGCAUAUCAUUGUGAGACGAAUGCACUUUUUUAACUUCUCCCUAGCCUACCCAUGUGGUUCCAGAGGGUAACACAUUCAUUAAAUGCAAACUCGAUAGCAGAAUUUUCCCUCAUGACACAGAGCUUUUCCCAAGUGCACCAUAUAUCCUGAUUUGGAAUGUUCUAAAUCCAAGAAUAUAAUGUAUGAUAGUUUAUCAUCAAUACUGAUGAUAUAGAGACAAAGAUGAGAGCUAGGAACCAUGCCAAUUAGCUUGGAUGGGCUCCCCACUGUUUGAUCUGCUUCAACAUUGCAAAGUGAGGUUCUUCAGUACUUCUCAAGCUUCUAGAUUCCCUGCAGCUGCAACAGGCUCAACCUUAAUUGUCUUCCAUUCAGUACUACCUAAGUGUGUAGGCGAGUGAGGCUUGCAGGCGAUGUAUGAAACAAGUGCAAGACGCUAUAAAAACAGUACUAUGUCUGUAUCUGUGGUAGUAGAUAAAAGUAACAUUAGUAUCAGUACUAAUUCUAAGUAUAUCAGAACAUGCAAAGAACAUAUGUAGUAGUAAUAGCCAGGUAGGCACAGUUGCCAGAUUCGGUGGGUUUGAUUUGGGGAAACAAUGCAUUGGCAAGGCAACAGGCGAGGGAGGGAUGGAUGGAUGGACUUACGAUUCUGUCGAGCUCCCGGGUCUUGCGCAUCAGCUCCUCCUUGAGCCGGGUAUUCUCCUCAAGCUGCGGUGGCGUGGGAGGGGGAGAAUGGAUGAGUGAGUGAGUGAUAUUGGCAGGGGUGAGAAACAGAGAUGGGCGAGGGGAGGGGGGAGGUGUCCUGGUGACGGAUGGUGGCCUCGGCGUCCUCGACGGCGCGCAUGACCUGGAAGAGGUUGUCGGUGCCAGCGGCGUCGUCGGAGUCCUGGCACGCGGUGGCCAGCUCACCGGCGUCGGCCAUGGUGCAGUGAUGGUGAUGCGGGUGGGGUACGGGGAGGAGAUGGGAGCACGGCGAGGGAGGCGAAACCCUAGGGAGGGGAGGGGAGGGGAGGCNNNNNNNNNNNNNNNNNNNNNNNNNNNNNNNNNNNNNNNNNNNNNNNNNNNNNNNNNNNNNNNNNNNNNNNNNNNNNNNNNNNNNNNNNNNNNNNNNNNNNNNNNNNNNNNNNNNNNNNNNNNNNNNNNNNNNNNNNNNNNNNNNNNNNNNNNNNNNNNNNNNNNNNNNNNNNNNNNNNNNNNNNNNNNNNNNNNNNNNNNNNNNNNNNNNNNNNNNNNNNNNNNNNNNNNNNNNNNNNNNNNNNNNNNNNNNNNNNNNNNNNNNNNNNNNNNNNNNNNNNNNNNNNNNNNNNNNNNNNNNNNNNNNNNNNNNNNNNNNNNNNNNNNNNNNNNNNNNNNNNNNNNNNNNNNNNNNNNNNNNNNNAGGAGGGGGCUUUGUUGCGGUGGAUCUGGCCGCUGACGGCCUGGGCAGGCGGGUGCCGCCGGCGGUGAUGUGGCUACGGGAGACGGGAGGGGGGGAGGGGGAGAGGAGGCGCGCGGGAGGGAGGGAGGGAGGCGGCUGCGGGAGGAAGGGAGAGAGGAGGAGGCGGCUAGGUCUCCGCCACAGCAGCGCCCCCCUUUUAUACCCCUGUACGCAGAAUGACGAAAAUGCCCUCGGGGGGCACCGGAAUUACGAGCGGUGGCACGAACGGGGUGAAACUAUUCAUUGCUACACGGCUCCUCUUUGAUCCGACAGCGCAGGUCAUCCAGCGGCUCGAUCCGACGGCCAAGAUCAGAUUAAGCAACCAGAUCCAAUGGCCAGGAAUGCCAAGCGGCUGAGGAGGCUGGAGGAUGACUGGAAUCCUUAUUUCUCAAUUCGUUUGCCCCAUGCGAGUGCAUCCCCCAAAGGCCGCAACCUCUUCUACACCACCGCUUAUGGUUGAAGUUGUUGCCGUCCUCCCCCUGCUUCUUGGACGGUUCGCCUCCGCUUGAGCAUGACUGCGGCGUCCCGCCCAAUUGGCCUUGACAAUGCUCCUCGGCCUCAGCUAAAGCCACUGGCCCGUUCCACUGAUGUUUAGAAUUGCUGCUCAUGCAUCUGCUUGCCACUUUGCUGACAAUGCUACUCGUCGACCCGUGCAACUCUAGCAUGUUGGCUACUUGUCACGUGCCUCUUGGACCAGAUAGUUUCUAAAUCGAUGCAUUGAAGUUAAACUACAUAGUUGACCUUUUAAGUUUGGGAGCACUUGUUCAGGUAGCUAAAAACUGGUUUUGUUUCAGUUGAUUUGCUCUUCCUCUUUCAACUAUCUUAUUUAAAUCCAAAGCCUCAUGUUUUUCAUCCUCCUGCCAUCGAAGCGACAAUGUUCUUUUUGAUGGAAAUAUGCCCUAGAGGCAAUAAUAAAAUGGUUAUUAUUAUAUUUCCUUAAUCAUGAUAAAGGUUUAUUAUUCAUGCUAGAAUUGUAUUAAUCGGAAACUUAAAUACAUGUGUGGAUACAUAAAUAAAUACCAUGUCUCUAGUGAGCCUCUACUAGACUAGCUUGUUGAUCAAAAGAUGGUUAAGGUUGCCUAACCAUAGACAUGUGUUGUCACUUGAUAACGGGAUCACAUCAUUAGGAGAAUGAUGUGAUGGACAAGACCCAUCUGUUAGCUUAGCAUCUGAUCGUUCAGUUUAUUGCUACUGCUUUCUUAAUGCCAAAUACAUGUUUCUUCAACCAUGAGAUCAUGCAACUCCCGUAUAUCGGAGGAAUACCUUGUGUGCUAUCAAAGGUCACAACGUAACUGGGUGAUCAUAAAGAUUCUCUACAGGUAUCUCCGAAGGUUUCUGUGGAGUUGGCGUGAAUCGAGAUUGGAAUUUGUUACUCCGUAUGACGGAGAGGUAUCUCUGGGCCCUCUCGGUAAUACACAUCACAAGAAGCUUGCAAGAAAAAUGACUAAGGAGUUAGUUACGAGAUGAUGUAUUACGAAACGAGUAAAGAGACUUGCCGGUAAUGAGAUUGAACUAGUUAUGGAGAUAUCAACGAUCGAAUCUCGGGCAAGUAACAUACCGACAGACAAAGGGAAUUACGUAUGUUGUCAUAACGGUUCGAUCGAUAAAUAUCUUUGUAGAAUAUGUUGGAACCAAUAUGGGCAUCCAAGUUCCCCUAUUGGUUAUUGACCGGAGAGGUGUCUCGGUCAUGCCUACAUAGUUCUCGAAGCCAUAGGGUCCACACUUUUAACGUUCGUUGAUGAUAUAGUGUUAUAUGAGUUAUAUUAUUUGGUGACGGAAUGUUGUUCGGAGUCCCGGAUUAGGUCACGGACAUGACGAGGAGCUCCGGAAUGGCCCGGAGGUAAGGAUCGAUAUAUAGGUCGAUGAUAUUUGGACACCGAAAGAGUUUUGGGAGGUACCGGGUAGUCAUCGGAUCAUCGGAAGUGGUUCCGGGAAGCCCCGGGAGGCUAUAUGGCUUAAUGGGCCAAAGGAGGAACACACCAGCCCACAAGGGGCUGGUGCGCCCCUCUCCCUGGCCGCCGGCCCUAGGGGAAGGAAAGGGGGAGGGUUGGCCCCUCCUUCCUUUCNNNNNNNNNNNNNNNNNNNNNNNNNNNNNNNNNNNNNNNNNNNNNNNNNNNNNNNNNNNNNNNNNNNNNNNNNNNNNNNNNNNNNNNNNNNNNNNNNNNNNNNNNNNNNNNNNNNNNNNNNNNNNNNNNNNNNNNNNNNNNNNNNNNNNNNNNNNNNNNNNNNNNNNNNNNNNNNNNNNNNNNNNNNNNNNNNNNNNNNNNNNNNNNNNNNNNNNNNNNNNNNNNNNNNNNNNNNNNNNNNNNNNNNNNNNNNNNNNNNNNNNNNNNNNNNNNNNNNNNNGGGGGGGCACCUCCCCCUGCCUUCCUGCCGCGCACAUACAAGGAAAGGGGGCGGCCAAGGGCAGGAGCCCAAGAGGGAUUCGGCCAUCCUUGGGGCACCUCCUGGCUGCCUCCCCUCUCCCGCACCUAUAUAUAUGUGGGAGGGGGCGCCAUACAAGGACCACGUCGAUCUCUUAGCCGUGUGUGGCACCCCUCUCCAUAGUUUCAUCCAUCGGUCAUAUUUUCAUAGUGCUUAGGUGAAGCCUUGCGUAGAUAGCAUCACCACCACCAUCACCACUUCGCCCGUCUUGCUGGAUCAAGAUGGCGAGGACGUCACCGAGAUGAACAUGUGCUGAAAGCGAAGGUGUCGUACGUUCGGUACUUGAUCGGUUGGAUCGUGAAGAAGUUCGACUAUAUCAACUGCGUUAAUAAACGCUUCCGCUUACGGUCUACGAGGGUACAUAGACACACUCUCCCCUCUUGUUGCUAUGCAUCUCCAUGGAUACAUCUAGCGUGUGCAUAUAAUUUUUUUUGUUUUCCAUGCAACGUUCCCCAACACUUCUUCCUCACUGAACCUAUGAUUUCUCUCCCUCCUAUUGAUAAUCCCCAAGUGCAUGGAAUCAUAGUAGCAAUUCCCAAAGGUGGAAGUGAUAAGUAUGGAGUGUCGAACCCACAAGGAGCUAAAGGUAAGAUCAAUAUUCUCUCAAGCCCUAUCUGCCACUGAUACGACUCUACGUGCACCGAACCUUUGCUUCCAACUAGCAACGAGAAAUAAAACUAUGUUGUGGGUAUGUAGAGGAUAACUUUGUAUGAUAUCGGAGAGCUAAAACAUAAAAGUAGGUGUUGUUAUCAUAAAGUUAGAAUAUAAUACUAAAUAUUAUAAAUAGCGAGUGUGGAAUAAUGGUGGAUCGGUGUGCGGAAUUGUCCUAGGCAAUAGUUAACAAGACCGAUAAUCACUAUUGCAGUUUCAUAUGAGGGAGAGGCAUAAGCUAACAUACUUUCUCUUCUUGGAUCAUAUGCACUUAUGAUUGGAACUCUAGCAAGCGUCCUCAACUACUGAAGAUCAUUAAGGUAACACCCAACCAUAGCAUUAAAGCAUCAAGUCCUCUUUAUUCCCAUACACAACAACCUACUUACUCGGAUUUGUGUUUUAGUCACUCACGCAACCCACUAUAAGCGAAUCAUGAACGUAUUGCAACACCCUAUAGCGGGAAUCCCUCAUGCUUGCGCGACACGGAGGGCACCAUAGGACAGCAUCAAAGUAAAACAUACAACUCAUACCAAUCUAAAUCAUCAAUCAACCCAAAGGCAAAAGAUAUCUACUCAAAACAUCAUAGGAUGGCAACACAUCAUUGGAUCAUAAUAUGUGGCAUAGAGCACCAUGUUCCAGUAGGGAUUACAACGGGGUGCGGGAGAGUGGACCGCGUAAAAGAGAUGAGGAUGGUGAUGAUGAUGGUGAUGUUGAUGAAGACGAUCACCGCGGCGAUGAUUCCCCUCCCGAUGGCACUCCGGUGCCACCAAGAGAGAGCAGGAGAGGUUCUCCCCCUUGUGCUUCCUCCUCCAUGGCUUUCCCCCUCUGGUCCUUGGCCUUCAUGGUGAUGAUGGCCCCUCCGAGAUCCUCCUCCAUGGCCCCCGGUGAUGAUGGCCCCCUCCAGCAGGGUGCCGGAGAGGUCCUAGAUUGAUUUCUCAUGGCUACAGAGGCUUGCGGCGGGGGAACUUAUGAUCUAGGUCAAUUCCCGAAGGUUUCUGUAUUUAUAGGAAUAUUUGGCGUUGGUUUCACGUCAGGGGGGUCUCUGGGCUGUCCACGAGAUAGGGGGGCGCGCCCUAGGGGGGGCGCCCCCCCACUCUCGUGGGCAGCCCGGGACUCUUCUGGCCCAACUCUGAUGCUCCGUGGUCUUCUUUUGGUCCAUAAAAAAUCCUCAAAAAUUGGCACGUCAAUUGGACUCCGUUUUGUAUCCCUUUUCUGUAAAACACAAAAACAAGGAGAAAACAGAAAUUGGCACUGGGCUCUAGGUUAAUAGGUUAGUCCCAAAAAUCAUAUAAAAUGACAUAUAAAUGCAUAUAAAACAUCAUAGAUGAAUAAUAUAAUAGCAUGAAUACUUCAUAAAUUAUAGAUAUGUUGGAGACGUAUCAGCAUCCCCAAGCUUAAUUCCUGCUCUUCCUCGAGUAGGUAAAUGAUAAAAGAAAUAAUUUAUGAAGUGUGAAUGCUAGCAGGUGGACAAGUUUGAUUAAUGAUUAUUUCAAUCACCUUUUCUAGCAUCAAAAUGUGUCAUAAUAGUAGCUUAUCUCAUAAAACUUUUCAUGAUCAAGUAACAAUCUAUUCACAAUGUCAAGUAUGGUUCAGAAACUUCAUUGAGAACUAACAAACUAUAAUCUCAGUCAUUUAAGCAAUUGCAAUUUAUCAUAACAUCAGAAAGAGUCAAGAAUAGAGCUUUUUAGCAAGUCCACAUACUCAACUAUCAUAUAGUCUUCUACAAUUGCUAACACUCACGCAAUACUUGUGGUUAGGGAGUUUUAGCCAGACACUGAGAAAGAUAGGGGCUUAUUGUGUUGCCUCCCAACGUAUUCACCUUUAGGUGAUGUCAACUAUAAUAGCCCAUGCUAACUUACAUCCAAUUGGAUAUAUAUAUAUAUCAUGAUCUUUCAAACACAAGGAGCUUGCCAAAGGACAAAAUGAAAAAGGGAAAGGUGAGGAUCACCUUGACUCAAGCAUAAAGUAAAAACAUAAAGUAAAAGAUAGGCCCUUCGCAGAGGGAAGCAGAGGUUGUCUUGUGCGUUUAGGGUUGGAUGCAUAAAAUCUUAAUGCAAAAGAACGUCACUUUAUAUUGCCCCUUGUAUGUUGACCUUUAUUAUGCAGUCCGUCGCUUUUAUUGCUUCCACAACAAGAUCAUACAAAGCUUAUUUUCUCUGCACUAAUAAGUCAUACAUAUUUAGAUAGCAAUUUUUAUUGCCUGCAACAUGACCACUUGAAGGAUCUUACUCAAUCCAUAGGUAGGUAUGGUGGACUCUCAUGGCAAAACUGGGUUUAAGGAUAUUUGGAAACACAAGUAGUAUCUCUACUUAGUGCAAGGAAUUUGGCUAGCAUGAGGGGGAAAGGCAAGCUCAACAUACUUGGAAGGUCAAUGACAAUAUACUUUAACUGAGAUGUGAGAAAACACAAAUCAUUAUGUUGUCUUCCUUGUCCAACGUCAACUCUUUUAGCAUGUCAUACUUAAUGAGUGCUCCCUAUCAUAAAAUAUGUCCAAGAUAAUAUAUUUGUAUGUGAACCUCUCUUUCCUUAUUACUUCCUAUUAAUUGCAACGAUGACCAAAACUACGUUUACCAACUCUCAACAACUUUUAUGCCUCAUACUGUUUAUAUGUGAAGUCAUUACUAUCCAUGUUAUAAGCAUAAUAAAACAUAUAGAAAUUCAGAUUCAUGACAUUCAAUUCAUUCCCCCAUUUACUCAUAGGAUGAACAUGAAGCACAUGAGUAAAUGACAAACUACUCCAAAAGAUAUGAGUGAAAGACAUGGAGUAGUCAAAUAAUUAACUAGCCAUGGGAGGGUUCCUUUUUUAUUCAAUAUUCAGAUCCAAUGAUUUUAUUCAAACAGCAAGUAAAAUCGAAAACACGCUCCAAGCAAAACACAUAUCAUGUGACGAAUAAAAAUAUAGCUCCGAGUAAGAUGUACCGAUAGUUUUGAAGACGAAAGAGGGGAUGCCUUCCGGGGCAUCCCCAAGCUUAGGCGCUUGAGUCUUCCUUGAAUAUUACCUUGGGGUGCCUUGGGCAUCCCCAAGCUUAGGGUCUUUCCAGUCCUUACUCUACUCAUAUUGAUAUCUCGCCCAAAACUUGAAAACUUCAAUCACACAAAACUUAAUGGAACUUCGUGAGAUAGGUUAGUACGAUAAAGAGUAAACCAUGCACUUUGGUACUGUAAAAGACAAGGUUAAUAAUUGUUUUCACAUAAUGCCUACUGUACCAUAUCAUUUCUACAAUUUAUAUUGAGAAAUAUAAGCCAUAGAAACUAGAAAACAAGCAAACUAUGCAGUGAAAACAGAAUCUGUCACAAACAGAACAGUCUGUAAUGAUCUGAGCAAUAACCAUACUUCUGCUACUCCAAAAAUUAUGAAAUAAAUUGGUGGACAUGAGGAAUUUGUCUACUAAUAUUCUGCAAAAAGAAUAAACUCAAAGGCACACUUCUGUAAAAAAUGACAGCUAAUCUCGUGAGCGCAAAGUUUCUAUUUUUACAGCAAGAUCACAUUAACUCUCACCCAAGUCUUCCCAAAGGUCUUACUUGGCACUUUAUUGAAACAAAAGCUAUAAAACAUGAUUACUACAGUAUCUUAAUCAUGUAGACACACAAAAACAGUCAGGAUAAAUAUUGGGUUGUCUCCCAACAAGCGCUUUUAUUUAAUGCCUUUUAGCUAGGCAUGAUGAUUUCAAUGAUGCUCGCAUAAAAGAAAAGAGUUGAAACACAAAGAGAGCAUCAUGAAGAAUAUGACUAGCACAUUUAAAUCUAACUCACUUCCUAUGCCUAGGGAUUUUGUGAGCACACAACUUAUGGGAACAAGAAUCAACUAGCAUAGGAAGGCAAAACAAGUUUAACUUCAAAGCUUAAAGCACAUAGAGAGGAAACUUGAUAUCAUUGCAACUCCUACAAAUAUAUAUUCCCCCCUCAUAAUAGUUUUCAGUAUCAUCAUGGAUAACAACCUUUUUUCUCAUACUAAAUUGGAACCUCUUCCGAAAUAGUGGAAUACUAACUAAAGUUGACACUCUUCCAAAUCCACUUUCAUGAAUAUCGUACAAAGAUUCAACACCCUCCAAGAUAGUGGGAUCACUAAUUCCUAAAGUUGACACUCUUCCAAACCCACUUUAAAUUAUAGUACUAUUCAUACUCCAAAAGAUAUAAGUGAAGUUCCUGGAGCAUUCUAUAAUUAAUAUAGACUAGCCAAUAUCCAAGCUCAAAAUAUAUAAGUGAAGCGCACGAAGCAUUCUAUAAAACCAUACUCAAACGAUAUAAGUGAAGCACAAAGAGCAAUUAUCUAAGAUCAUACUUAAAAGAUAUAAGUGAAGCUAAUGAAGUAUAAAUCAAUGAAGAGCUAUCUCAUAAUAUCAUGAUUCUUGAAGAAAAAUAAAAACACAAAGGACACGAAUCGUGUGAACAAAGCAAAAACCGAGGUAUACCGAUAUUUGUUGAGGAAGAAAGAUGGGAUGCCAACCGGGGCAUCCCCAAGCUUAGAUGCUUGAGUAUCCUUUAAAAUAUUUACUUGGGGUGCCUUGGGAAUCCCCAAGCUUGAACUCUUGUCUCUCUUUAUUCUUCUCACAUCAGUAACUCCUCGUUCUUCAAACACUUCAUUCACAAAAACUUAAAAAAAACUUGUGAGAUCCGUUAGUGUAAUAAAGCAAACUACCACUUUAAGGUACUGUAAUUAACAAUUUCUUUAUUUUUAUUGGUGUUAAACCUACUGUAUUCCAACUUCUCUAUGGUUCAUACCCUUACAUACUAGCCAUAGAUGCAUCAGAAUAAGCAAACAAUACACGAAAAACAGAAUCUGUCAAGAACAGGACAGUCUGUAGUAAUCUGGAAGUUCAGUAAACUUCUGUAACUCCAAAAAUUAUGAAAUAAAAUUGAAAAUUUGAAAUAUUUGUACAGAAGUAAUGUGCAAAAAGUUUCAUACCCAUUUGUCUUUCCAGUAAAAAAUGUAAAUUCAUGCACUACAGCCAAAGUUUCUGUUUUUGUUCUGCAUAUAGUAAGCAAGCAAUCUUAUCAUACGAAAACCAAAGCUUGGCACACUAUUUUUAUAUUAAAAAGGAUAUAUACAAGGGUAUAAUUAUUUACAGAGAAACUUUCAUGAAAAAUUCUACAUUUUUUCCGUGAGCAUGAACUCAAGUGCUCAAGGUCGACCCUCACCUCUUCAAUGCAUAACUUUCCAAUCACUUCUCUUUUUGAAAAACAUUUUUAGGCAUGACAGGCAAGUAAUUCUUUUUUUGUAUUUUCAUUCUUUUUAAUUUUUUUGUAUGUUUCAUCCACAACUAAACAUAAACAAAAAGGGAAAAUAAAAUCUACUUAGUGAAGAAAGCAAACAAGCACACACGAGAAUAUCAACCCCACGCUAUCACUCCCCGGCAACGGCGCCAGAAAAGAGCUUGAUAAUCCCCAAGUGCAGGGAAUCAUCGUAGCAAUUCCCAAAGGUGGAAGAGAUAAAUAUGGAGUGUAGAAACCACAAAGAGCUAAAGGUAAGAUCAAUAUUCUCUCAAGCCCUAUCUGCCACUGAUACGACUCUACAUGCACCGAACGUUUGCUUCCAACUAGCAACGAGAAAUGAAACUAUGUUGUGGGUAUAUAGAGGAUAACUUUGUAUGAUAUCGGAGAGCUAAAACAUAAAAGUAGGCGCUGUUGUCAUAAAGUUAGUAAAUAAUACUAAAUAUUAUAAAUAGCGAGUGUGGAAUAAUGGUGGAUCGGUGUGCGGAAUUGUCCUAGGCAAUUGUUAACAAGACCGAUAAUCACUAUUGCAGUUUCAUAUGAGGGAGAGGCAUAAGCUAACAUACUUUCUCUUCUUGGAUCAUAUGCACUUAUGAUUGGAACUCUAGCAAGCAUCCGCAACUACUAAAGAUCAUUAAGGUAAAACCCAACCAUAGCAUUAAAGCAUCAAGUCCUCUUUAUUCCCAUACGCAACAACCUACUUACUCGGUUUGUGUUUCAGUCACUCACGCAACCCACUAUAAGCGAAUCAUGAACGUAUUGCAACACCCUACAGCGGGAAUCCCUCAUGCUUGCGCGAUACGGAGGGCACCAUAGGACAACAUCAAAGUAAAACAUACAACUCAUACCAAUCUAAAUCAUCAAUCAACCCAAAGACAAAAGAUAUCUACUCAAAACAUCAUAGGAUGGCAACACAUCAUUGGAUCAUAAUAUGUGGCAUAAAGCACCAUGUUCAAGUAGGGAUUACAGCGGGGUGUGGGAGAGUGGACCGCGUAAAAGAGAUGAGGAUGGUGAUGACGAUGGUGAUGUUGAUGAAGACGAUCACCGCGGCGAUGAUUCCCCUCCCGAUGGCACUCUGGUGCCACCAAGAGAGAGGAGGAGAGGUUCUCCCCCUUGUGCUUCCUCCUCCAUGGCUUUCCCCCUAUGGUCCUUGGCCUUCAUGGUGAUGAUGGCCCCUCCGAGAUCCUCCUCCAUGGCCUCCGGUGAUGAUGGCCCCCUCCGGUAGGGUGCCGGAGAGGGCCUGGAUUGAUUUCUCAUGGCUACAGAGGCUUGCGGCGGCGGAACUUCUGAUCUAGGUCAAUUCCCGAAGGUUUCUGUAUUUAUAGGAAUAUUUGGCGUUGGUUUCACGUCAGGGGGGUCUCCGGGCUGUCCACGAGAUAGGGGGCGCGCCCCCACUCUCGUGGGCAGCCCGGGACUCUUCUAACCCAACUCCGAUGCUCCGUGGUCUUCUUUUGGUCCAUAAAAAAUCCUCAAAAAUUGGCACGCCAAUUGGACUCCGUUUGGUAUCCCUUUUCUGUAAAACACAAAAACAAGGAGAAAAAAGAAACUGGCACUGGGCUCUAGGUUAAUAGGUUAGUCCCAAAAAUCAUAUUAAAUGACAUAUAAAUGCAUAUAAAACAUCAUAGAUGAAUAAUAUAAUAGCAUGAAUACUUCAUAAAUUAUAGAUUGGAGACGUAUCACCUAUCCUUAGCUGAUUUGGCUGCCUCACAUUCGUUGAGUACUCGUCUGAGAAAUUACCAACGACUUACUUCUUGUUGCAUUGCUUCAAGAGAUCUUGGAUGAUAGGUCCAUAGUCCGAGAUUUGCACACCACUCGGUGGUGGAUGGUUGACUUGAUCAGUAUAACCAGGCCAUCGGUUGCAUUGGUCUUGCAUGGUACCUCCAUUGGUUACCAAGAGAGCCUUGGAUGUGGCGUUAUGUGACUUCCAUUAUGUUGUUGUAGUACUCUACAAUUCUACCCGAGAGUCGGUCCUCCGAUUGAUCUGUUCCAAUUGAUGCAUCAACUGACAUGUUUGUCCAAGCAUUACACAAUGCAAUAUAUUAAUCUUGGCAAUACUUGUGAGUCCUAGAUAUUGAUGGUGCCCUCGCGCUUGUUGUGACUCCAUAGAACUAUCAACAACUUCUGGAUCCUCCUUGGCGUCGGCCUCCACUUUUGGCUCAUAAUCCUCCUCGGGGUCUUCUUGUUGAUCAGACACCGAGUUAUAGUUGAGAUCUUCAAGCCCAAGCAUAUGUGACUCCUCCAAAGAUGAACAAAGUUUGUUUGUGUUCUUCUCCGCACUAUGACAACAAGCACAUCACCCUAGGGCCGCAAGCAAUCACCAUAAAAUGCACCGAUCGAUAUGCAAAUACAUUUAUUUACCUUGAUGGCAUUUGUUUGACCACUUGGUGGCCACGACCCUUGGUGAUGGCAGUGGCGGCCGGACGAGAAACCGUAAGGGUGGCCGAAGAUGUGGUGCGAGGCACCAGAGGCAUCUUAUUCUUAUUAUCCUCGCCAUAUCCUCGGUGAGCGCUGACGCGGGUCUCAUCGACCUCCUUGCCCGCUUGUCAGAGGCUGGAGCAGUGGGAGGGCUGCCUCACGUCUUCAAAGAAGCAGUGGUCUUUCCACCGACCUUGCUACCGGCGAUGCUUGCCUGUGUGGUGGCAUGUGUGGGUUUUAAGUGCCUAGCUUCUUCCUUGUUGUGGGCAGCGGCACAGGGCUCAUUUCCUGAUGCGUCGCGCUGGCGGUGGUGGGGGUCUUACAUGUCCAUCAUUUUGUCCUCGGGUAGGUAGCCGUGUCCGGCCUUCUUGCCGAUGGCGUUUGCACUGCACUCGCAGGUCUUCCUCACAUUCGUCUGCAACUUGACAUGAAAAUAUUUCUGCCACAUGCCAAAGUGGGACUCGACAUAGAGAAAAGCCUCACACAAGGUGAUGAAGCAUGCAAUGUGAAAGAUAGCAAUGAGGGAAGGUAGUGGACUUUGAAGUAGUAAAAAUGCAGCAAACCCUAGAAGGACAGAUUUAUCAGAAAAGCCCAAUCCGUGAAUCAAAAAAGGGAUGAAAUUGACACUCUUAUGCGGAUCAGGCUAUGGGUACACCUCUUCUCGGGCGUCGCCAUUCUCGGUCACGAUGAUGGGAGAGCACGCGAGGACCACGAUAGCUGCGGAAGAUACCCAUCUGCGGCAAGGCGGUCCAACUGGCCACGCUAGUGGAGGGCAUCCAUUUUCCCUUUGUCUUGGAGGUGACCUUGGCUACAGCAGUGACAAUCUCCUUUCCAGUGUUGACCAUCUUUCCAUCCAUGGUGAGCUUGUAGCACAUGGCGGCACGGUGGUGAUGUUGGGUUGUGCUAGAGCGAUGGUGCUAUGGCACAGUGAAGUAGCAGGACAAUGACAUGGCGCAAAAGCGGUGGAGCUGUUGUUGUGCCAGGAAGAAGAUGAGAACAAGGGAAACAAUAGCAUGAGCUCCCCCUCGCUCCAUCCAUUCCCUUAUAUACGAGGGUGGAAAUGUGAAAUGGCGACAUGCAAUCAACGCCACCCAGUGGUAAAUCUCUUCAUACCCCCGCGAUGGCGCUAAGUGCACGUGGGGAUUGAGGUGACUCUGUUAAGUGCGUGCGAGAAUCAGGCAUGCUUCCUCUGUUGAUGCAUGGGACGUGGCGUGGGUGGGACCUAUACCCACUCAUGCACGUCACAUUGACCGCUAGGUCAAGUCUGACACAUGGUCCGGUGGGACCAACUGAUGAGACAUGUCUGCUCUAACAGGACUGUACAGUUUGAACCAUAAAGACGCUAUGCGGGAAUUCAACCCAUGAGGAGCAGACUGCGCGGGAAACAUUUUCGGCACAGGUAGGCUAUCUUCAUCAAUGGCUUAAGACCGAGGUUAAUUACGCUACCCCAAAGGCGGUCUGGCAGCUUGAGACCUAUUACGUGAAGAUGUUGUUAAUUAGGGAGGCUUGGAAGAACAAGUUUCAACCUCGACGACCUAAAGACAAUGUGCAACUUGGUGUUGGCAAGCUUGAACACCAAAUUAGGGCUACUGAUGGUGUCACGGCCCAGGGGUACCUCACCAUGUCAGUUCUCGCCCUGGUGGAGCCCUAGGUCGAUUUCAUCCUGGCUCACUUUGGGCAGCCCAUGACAUUUAGAUGGAAGACUCCGGACGACUUAAUGUGCAAGACAAGUGUACUUGAACUGAGGAGGAGUCUACCUCCACCGAUCUAGUCGACUAGGAUCUGUAAGCCUAGGACCCCUGGUAUGUUGUAUAAGCCGGGGUCGGGUUCGUCGAGAGAUCAUCAGGUAGGUUCCCCUUUGGUAUAUCAUAUCUAAAGCUAAUUUGAUUGAUUUACAACGAUCCUUUUUUGCAUGAGUAUAGGGAUUCAUUUAACCAUGGGGCUCGUAGCUUUGCCAAGGUGGCCACGCGAUAUUGGUUCGAUAUCAUGUAUGGCCACUCUAGCCAGCAUCUUUGCUUGUAUCCUGAACAAUCCUAGAUCUAUAAAGAAAAUCAUGAGUGUAGAAUAAUCCCACACCUGGCAGAUCAAGAUUGGUCGAACAUGAUCCUUAUUUAUAGGAGACAUCUAUUUCUCAAUUGACUAAAAUUUAACGCAAAACUGAUUUAUAAAUUUCUGUAUGAAUCUAAGCAAAAUUUACCAUGUUGUAAAAAAUGUGUUCAUCUAGUGCAAAACAGAUAUAGUUUUAACUAAGGCUCCACUGAAUUUACAAGUUUAUUCAUACUGAUUUAAUAGUACUGAGAGUGAUAUAAUAGUUCAUUCAGGCGGAAAUCCAAUUUGGCUCUCGGGUGCACAUGCUCUUGCGCGCGAAAAUAAUUUGGAAAUGUCAAAACAAAUCCAACAAAAAAUUUAUGUGUUCAUAGUCACAUACAAAUGCUACUUACAAAAUCUUAGGCAAAAACUUUAAGCACAGUGAAUAAAAUAAAAUUAAAUACCAAAUAUUAGCAACAAAUGUCACCUAAAAUUCGUUUUUUUUCACCGGCGAAACACUGCCGCUCCGUUCCACAUGAUAAUUGUCAAGGAUGACACUAACACGAACAUCUUCAAAAAGAACCUCAUAUUUUUUUAACGUUUACAUUUUUUUUAUGGUUACUGUUCAUGCAGGAGGAUGUGCUCCCAGGAGCCAAAACGCCUCCCCCGUUGUUCAGGUUAGUUAAGAUAUGCAGUAUUACUCUCAGAGUUGUUGGUUUGAUGGUUAUGUCUAUUGAGCGCUAAGAAAUUAUACGACAAUUGAGAAUUAGGAAAACCACUUUUCAUAUCACAAAAACUUAAAUCGAGAUUUCUAUAAGUUUAUUGAGUUGUGUAGUCCAGCCAAAAUCAGUCUGUAUAAUUUAUUAUAAUUUUCCAUAUCUUAGUAGCAGAAGGUUUUGGCACAUGAAAGUACAUUGUAUCCAUCAUUUCCGUAGCAUUCACCAUUCGCAACAGCACCAUAUGGAACGGUCGCAAUGACUUUUUUCAAAGUUGUAACCACGCCACUCACAGCUAAGCUUGCACAUAGCAA